rnacentral:rRNA from 1 species
GGAAUCUUCGGCAAUGGGCGCAAGCCUGACCGAGCCAUGCCGCGUGAGCGAUGAAGGCCUUAGGGUUGUAAAGCUCUUUCGCCAGGGAUGAUAAUGACAGUACCUGGUAAAGAAACCCCGGCUAACUCCGUGCCAGCAGCCGCGGUAAUACGGAGGGGGUUAGCGUUGUUCGGAAUUACUGGGCGUAAAGCGCGCGUAGGCGGAUUGGAAAGUUAGAGGUGAAAUCCCAGGGCUCAACCCUGGAACUGCCUUUAAAACUCCCAGUCUUGAGUUCGAGAGAGGUGAGUGGAAUUCCGAGUGUAGAGGUGAAAUUCGUAGAUAUUCGGAGGAACACCAGUGGCGAAGGCGGCUCACUGGCUCGAUACUGACGCUGAGGUGCGAAAGUGUGGGGAGCAAACAGGAUUAGAUACCCUGGUAGUCCACACCGUAAACGAUGAAUGCCAGACGUCGGAUAGCAUGCUAUUCGGUGUCACACCUAACGGAUUAAGCAUUCCGCUGGC